rnacentral:lncRNA from 1 species
UCUCCUCCCGCGAGCUCUGCGUCUGCAUGAGGGUCUGCCGCACCUGGAGCCGCUGGUUUGUACUGGGAGGCACUGGGAGGGGUUACUGGGAGCACUGGGAGGCGCUGGGAGGGGGACUGGGGUCACUACGGGGGGUUUAGGGUCACGUAGAGGGGAUUUAAGGGCACUUAGAAAGGCUUUAGGGAUGCUUAAAGGUGCUUUGGAGGAGAUUUAGGGGUACUGGGAGCACUGGGAGGGGUUACUGGGUGCACUGGGAGGGGUCCCUGGGGGUGCUCGCCGUCUUCCUCCACCUCUCCUCCCGCGAGCUCUGCGUCUGCAUGAGGGUCUGCCGCACCUGGAGCCGCUGGUUUGUACUGGGAGGCACUGGGAGGCGCUCACUGGGAGGCACUGGGAGUGAUUUGGGGUCACUAGGAUGCAUUUUAGGGUCAUUUUGGGGGAUUUAGGGGCACUUGGAGGGGCUCUAAGGGCACUUAGAAGGGCUUUAGGGUCAUUUAAAGGAGCUAUGGAGGAGAUCUAGGGGUACUGGGAGCACUGGGAAGUGUUACUGGGAGCACUGGGAGGCACUGGGAGGGGUUUUGGGGUCACUACG